CCUACGUGGGGCAGCAGUGAGGAAUAUUGGUCAAUGGACGCAAGUCUGAACCAGCCAUGCCGCGUGCAGGAAGACGGCUCUAGGAGUUGUAAACUGCUUUUGUACGAGGGUAAAUCCCGAUACGUGUAUCGGGUUGAAAGUAUCGUACGAAUAAGGAUCGGCUAACUCCGUGCCAGCAGCCGCGGUAAUACGGAGGAUUCAAGCGUUAUCCGGAUUUAUUGGGUUUAAAGGGUGCGUAGGCGGUUCGAUAAGUUAGAGGUGAAAUCCCGGGGCUCAACUCCGGCACUGCCUCUGAUACUGUCGGGCUAGAGUUUAGGUGCGGUAGGCGGAAUGUAUGGUGUAGCGGUGAAAUGCAUAGAGAUCACGCAGAACUCCGAUUGCGAAGGCAGCUUACUAAGCCAUAACUGACACUGAAGCACGAAAGCGUGGGGAUCAAACAGGAUUAGAUACCCUUGUAGUC
rnacentral:rRNA from 1 species